rnacentral:rRNA from 1 species
UGAGGGAAUAUUGGGACAAUGGAGGCAACUCUGAUCCAGCCAUGCCGCGUGAAGGACUAAGGCCCUAUGGGCUGUAAACUUCUUUAGACGCAGAGCAAUAAGGGCCACGCGUGGUCCGAUGAGAGUAUGCGUAGAAUAAGCAUCGGCUAACUCCGUGCCAGCAGCCGCGGUAAUACGGGGGAUGCGAGCGUUAUCCGGAUUUAUUGGGUUUAAAGGGUGCGUAGGCGGAAGUGCAAGUCAGCGGUGAAAUCCCCGCGCUCAACGCGGGAGUUGCCGUUGAUACUGUACAUCUGGAAUGCUCUUGCCGUGGGAGGAAUGAGUAGUGUAGCGGUGAAAUGCAUAGAUAUUACUCAGAACACCGAUUGCGAAGGCAUCUCACGAAGGGGCGAUUGACGCUGAGGCACGAAAGCGUGGGUA